rnacentral:lncRNA from 1 species
GAAAUGACAGCUUUAUUAAUCUAGAUGGUGUAAGAGUGUGUGCAUGUGUGUGUGCGUGCGUGUGUGUGUGUGUGUGUGUGUAGUGUGUGCAGUGUUGACUGGCUGCAUGUAUACACUGCAUGUGUCAUACAGGUCUUAGACAGACGAGGGAGCCCUCUACUGAUUAGAAACGGAAUCAAAGGUAAACCGUAGAGUUGCUUUUAGUGUCUUGCUUGUCUGUCUUCCAAAAAGCCAGACAUUUUUCUCAUUUCUUUGACAGAUCACAAGAGGAGACUCUCUUGGAAGGAACUAUAGCUGUCAGUCAUCGUAUGCGUGCAAGUACAUACAAAUCUACUUAAGUGGACAGUGCAGUUCCCGAGCACCCGAGUACAAAGUAGAGCGAUACAAUCUCAGCAGAAAGGAAGACAAGCUUCUCGAAGACGGGACAGCGUGGCCGAAAGGCACUCGCCCUGGGCUGCUCAGGAGUGGAAGUGCGGUCUUUGCAAGUCAGUGAAAGGCUUAGUUUCCUCAUUUUCAGCCUCCUCAUCUUCAACAUGCAGGACUAGACUGAAGGAUCUAUUAAGAGCCUUCAGCUUAAAAAAUAAAUAAAUACAAAAGAACAAAAACAAGAACGGGUGACACUUCCUUUUUGAUCCCAACACAAGCGCAGUUGCACAUCCUCUGUGAACUGACGGAGGACCCGGAGGCAGAGAUGUCAGCAGACGACGCCAACAUGUUUGUAAUUCAUGAACCGCCUCGGUCAUGGACAGCUGAACACUGACCAAACGGAGAAACGAUCCUGACAAGAGGUAAGCAAGUCCAGAAUCCUCAGAGCUGCAAAAAUGUAAUGCUUAGUUAAUGCUAUUAUAUGAUCUUACAGCUAUGAGAAUUCAGAGGGGUUUUUUUUAACCUUUCCAAGGAAAUCGUUCUCUCGUUGGGAAAUCAUUUGAAAGCUACACAAUCUCUUUCCUGAUAAAAAUCAAACAAAAAUUAACAUGUGGCCUGCGAAAAUUGUAUGUAUAACUUCUGGGUAUCCAUGAACCUAGAGAGGUCUAUCCGUGCGACCCCUGACCAAGUCGUUGCCGUCAUUUAAAAGGUAAGUGACUUGGAGUUCCCGUGGUGACUCGGUGGUAGCAAA